GCCUGGGUGGCUCAAUCAGUUAAGCAUCUGACUUCAGCUCAGGUCAUGAUCUCACAAUUCGUGGGUUCGAGCCCCGCAUCAGGCU
rnacentral:tRNA from 1 species